AGGAAUAUUGGUCAAUGGGCGCGAGCCUGAACCAGCCAAGUAGCGUGAAGGAUGAAGGUCCUACGGAUUGUAAACUUCUUUUAUAAGGGAAUAAAGUCACCCACGUGUGGGUGUUUGUAUGUACCUUAUGAAUAAGCAUCGGCUAACUCCGUGCCAGCAGCCGCGGUAAUACGGAGGAUGCGAGCGUUAUCCGGAUUUAUUGGGUUUAAAGGGAGCGUAGACGGGCCGUUAAGUCAGUUGUGAAAGUUUGCGGCUCAACCGUAAAAUUGCAGUUGAUACUGGCUGUCUUGAGUACAGUAGAGGUGGGCGGAAUUCGUGGUGUAGCGGUGAAAUGCUUAGAUAUCACGAAGAACUCCGAUUGCGAAGGCAGCUCACUGGACUGCAACUGACACUGAUGCUCGAAAGUGUGGGUAUCAAACAGGAUUAGAUACCCUGGUAGUCCACACAGUAAACGAUGAAUACUCGCUGUUUGCGAUAUACAGUAAGCGGCCAAGCGAAAGCAUUAAGUAUUCCACCUGGGGAGUACGCCGGCAACGGUGAAACUCAAAGGAAUUGACGGGGGCCCGCACAAGCGGAGGAACAUGUGGUUUAAUUCGAUGAUACGCGAGGAACCUUACCCGGGCUUAAAUUGCAGAUGAAUUACGGUGAAAGCCGUAAGCCGCAAGGCAUCUGUGAAGGUGCUGCAUGGUUGUCGUCAGCUCGUGCCGUGAGGUGUCGGCUUAAGUGCCAUAACGAGCGCAACCCUUGUUGUCAGUUACUAACAGGUUCCGCUGAGGACUCUGACAAGACUGCCAUCGUAAGAUGUGAGGAAGGUGGGGAUGACGUCAAAUCAGCACGGCCCUUACGUCCGGGGCUACACACGUGUUACAAUGGGGGGUACAGAGGGCCGCUACCACGCGAGUGGAUGCCAAUCCCCAAAACCUCUCUCAGUUCGGACUGGAGUCUGCAACCCGACUCCACGAAGCUGGAUUCGCUAGUAAUCGCGCAUCAGCCACGGCGCGGUGAAUACGUUCCCG
rnacentral:rRNA from 1 species